GUCACAGAGGAGACAAAAUCAAAUCAGCAGAGGUCUCAAGGUAAGGGUUUAUGAUUGAGCGUUGAAUAUAUGCGUGUGUGUUUCAACCAUGGUGGUGGGUAAGUGUCGGUUCGAAAGACUUGCAGGGGUUUGGGGUUGUUGAGGCCUAAAUUGAAAGCGACGGUAGUGGCUGGUAUGUAGGCGGGCUGUUGCAGCGAUGGACUGCAUAAUCGCGUGAAGAGGAGCGGCGGCGUAGCCGGUGAAGUUCUGCUGAUUUUUAAAGGAUACAUGUGUUGGGUGCAUUGGCAUACUAAUACAAUCAGGUCGAUUUCUCUAAUGUCUUUUAAUAAACUCUCUCUUUAUAAAGUGUGUCCACCAGAUGAUUGUUUAAAUGUCUGGCUGAAAAGAAUGAAUAGUUAGUUUUACAAUAUGUGGCAAAUAGAGGAUACUAGACGAAAAGAUAAAAUAAAAGCAAAUCAAUAUUCUUUAAAUGGAUUAGGUCAUUAGAUGUGCUUAUAGACAUGAAAAUUAAUACCUGAACUUAGGUAUGGGUAUGUCAGCCUCUGGCUCAUGUUUCGACACCUUAUUUGAAUUAUAUAUGUUAUAUUUUUUUCUAUGCUAUCUGUUAAAGUCUUUGCUCAGCUUUAAUCUGAAAUUCUGAUUUCUAAUCCAAUUUUAUCCUCCUCUGAACACUUGCCCAGAAAUUUCUGGAGAACAUUAGAUGGGCCGAGUUAUUAAUAUAGGCAGUGUGCCUGAAAUGGGUGGCGUCCCUGAAAUCGGCAAUACAAAUUGGCCUGCAUGGCCAGGACAGAAUGUUCUGCAUAACAUGUUUAAUUGGUAACUGUAAACUUGCUAAACCUACACGUAUACACUUACUAAUCUAGUUGUAGGGGCCUUGGCAUUCGAUGUAGAAUUUGCACGGUGGCUAGAAGAGCAUACCAUGCGAGCUUUGUUUCGACGAUUUGGUGUACUAGAAAUAGUGGAAAGAAAUGAUGCCGGCACUGCAGCUAGUCGGAUAUAUUGUAUCUCAGUUUUUGAAAUUGCAUUCACUGAACAAAAUCCUGGUGCAGAUUCAUUGAUCAGGAAUGCUAUGAUGUGUAGUAAUAUUAAGUUGGAGCAUUAUCAAUAUAAUUGAAUCUUUCUUUUUUGGUAAUAUCUUCUUUUUGUAUUUGCAACUUUUAUAGGAUACAAGAUUAAGUUUAGAUCAAUAUGAAGGAAGGUGAUAUAAUUAAAUUAAUGCUCUUAGUACAGUUUAGAUUAAUGUGCAUGAUUUCUUUGUGCAUUACAGUGCAGAGUCAGCUACUGUGCAAUGGGUGUGGGACCAUUCUUCUCUAUCCAAGAGGAGCAAUGUUAGCUGUGCAGUUUGCAAUGUAGUUGCUAUGGCCUACGGUACCACCUGAUGGUAGUAAAAAUCUGACAUUUUCCGGCUAGUGUAAAAGUACUUGAACAUAAAGAGCUUGUUGAUGCACCUUGGAUAUCAGUUGGCUUGGUGUGGACUACAUUCAUGGGAGAUGUUCAAUUUGUGAAAGAUGUCAGUUGGAUUAGUGUGGACUACAUUUAGGGGAAGUGUUUAAUUUGUGGAAGACACAUCAAUGGCGAGGAAUGGUGAUCUAAAUCUUACCGAUCACUAAUUUAUACGUUGUAUUAAGCUUGAUCAAUUUUUCUUAUUAAGAGAAUGUGACGAUUUACUUCUA